AAGACCUUGCGCUUUUGGAGCGGCCGAUGCCUGAUUAGCUUGUUGGUAAGGUAAAAGCUUACCAAGGCUUCGAUCAGUAGCUGGUCUGAGAGGACGGCCAGCCACACUGGGACUGAGACACGGCCCAGACUCCUACGGGAGGCAGCAGUGGGGAAUUUUGGACAAUGGGGGCAACCCUGAUCCAGCCAUGCCGCGUGAGUGAAGAAGGCCUUCGGGUUGUAAAGCUCUUUCAGCCGGAACGAAACGGUUACGGUUAAUACCCGUGACUAAUGACGGUACCGGAAGAAGAAGCACCGGCUAACUACGUGCCAGCAGCCGCGGUAAUACGUAGGGUGCGAGCGUUAAUCGGAAUUACUGGGCGUAAAGCGUGCGCAGGUGGUUUUGUAAGUCAGAUGUGAAAGCCCCGGGCUCAACCUGGGAACU
rnacentral:rRNA from 1 species